UCUACGAGGGCCGGGACUGCCGCUACCUUUCUGGAAGGCGCCGGCCGGCCAGUCCCCGGCUGGAUCCCGCCAGAGGCGGCUCCGCGUCUCCAGCAGCGGACCCGGGCGCCCCGCCCUCGCCAGCGCCCGCCCCCGCCCGCCCCCUCCCGCCCCCGGCCCGCCCUCCGUAUCUGGCCCCUGGGCAGCUGCCCCGGGAGGCGGCCAGCGAGCUGGGGCCGCGCAAUGUCGCACGGAGCAGGGCUCGUCCGCACCACGUGCAGCAGCGGCAGCGCGCUCGGACCCGGGGCCGGCGCGGCCCAGCCCAGCACGAGCCCCUUGGAGGGGCUGCUGGACCCCAGCUACCCCCGCACCCACGCGGCCCUGCUGAAAGUGGCGCAGAUGGUUACCCUGCUGAUUGCCUUCAUCUGCGUGCGGAGCUCCCUGUGGACUGACUACAGCGCCUACAGCUACUUUGAAGUGGUCACCAUUUGCGACUUGAUAAUGAUCCUCGCCUUUUACCUGGUCCACCUCUUCCGCUUCUACCGCGUGCUCACCUGUAUCAGCUGGCCCCUAUCGGAACUUCUGCACUAUUUAAUUGGUACCCUGCUCCUCCUCAUCGCCUCCAUUGUGGCAGCUUCCAAGAGUUACAACCAGAGCGGACUGGUAGCCGGAGCGAUCUUUGGUUUCAUGGCUACCUUCCUCUGCAUGGCAAGCAUAUGGCUGUCCUAUAAGAUCUCGUGUGUAACCCAGUCCACAGAUGCAGCCGUCUGAUGAGGCCACAACCCCUAGGCCCCUCAGGAGCUUUGCAGAGAGGAGGACGUGUACUCCAGGCGGGGCCUCUGGACCUGUGUUCCUGUGCCAAAGUCCUGUCGGCCUGGUGGGUACCAGGAAAGGCCUGCACCCUCUUCCUGCUCUCCCUGAGCUCCUGAGCCAGCCGGAAACUCUUCCUCCAGCCUUCCGGGGAGAACAUUCCUCCCCUUCUGGGAAAGGAAAGCAGCCUCCAGGGAAAUCUGUUUUCUGCCUUCCUGCUUCUAGAAUCACCUCAGACUUUGACCUUUUGAACUUGAGGACUUCUUCUUGCUGCUGAGAAACAACUGCCAGCAUCACUGAGCCCUACCUACCUAAAACAGUCUUCAACUUGACAUUCUCAUCCUGCAAUUCUGAAACAAACUAGAACAAUGCCUAUGUAAGAACAAGGACUCUCAAGAUCCUGCUACACAGUAUUCACAAUUAAAAGGGCCCAAGAUUCAGGACCACCUGAAGACAACUGACAAAAAGUAAGCGUCAGAGCCAGAGGCCAACCUCUGCUAGAUGAAGCAGCAGCACAUGACUCCAUUUCUAUCUGAUAAGGAGACAGAAAAGAGGCAUCUCGAACAGAUGAAAAACCAAAGGCUGGGGUCCUAAAAAAAACAGACUGGCUUCAAAGAAAACACUAAGGAAGACCCACAGAGCUGUAUUAAUUUUAGUAAAAAUAAUCACAUGCCAACAGGGGAAUUGAACCACUUUCUAAAUCAUAGUAUGAACUCAUCUCUUCAGAUACUUGGUAAGUGGUCAAAGCUUGUUUUUAUAAUUACUUUCACUGUCUUGGGCAAAAAGUCUUUCUUAUCUUUGGUCCUUAGGUGUGGUAUCAGUUUCUUCCAUUUUUUUAUGUGUUACAAAACAAUCUUUUUUUUACUUGACAUCAACAAGUAACAACAAGGUGCAGUAUAAACACGAAGUUGCUGAUAUUGUUGCUUUUAUACACAUAAAAUACCAACAUCUCCCAUACAUUUUAUAGGCUAUACGAAGGUCUCAAAGAAUUAAUAACAGUUAUCCAAAAAUAUUAUAACAUUUACGGCUGAAAUACAGUAAAGCCUGGUAAUAUAUGUUAAGGAAAAAAACCUAGACCAACAUUUUAAAUAUUGGUUUCUUAAAUAUGUUAAAUUCCCAUUAACAAUAUAAUCUAAGCACCAAAACAAACAGCUAAGCAAAUUAAUUUAAAAAUAAAACAAUUUCUAAGUAGAUGAAUAUAAUCACGAUGUUUAUACAGCUAUAAAGCAUAAUUUGGAAGCUAAGCCUAGUAAAAGAAUGACCUGUAACAGAAUGACAGAAUCAUUUAUCAAUCGUUGAGCUGUGUGAUUUAAAAAACAAUUGUUUUCUCUUCCUCUCACCAAAAUCUCCAUUUGAGAUAAGUUUCAACUAUUAUUUAAAAAAAAUUUUUUUAACGUAUCUGGCCUACUUUGUGGUGACUGACACAAUAUUGAUAAAACUGCCUUCUUGACCUUCCCCUUGCUCUCCAAAAGAAGUGGUUUAAACAAUUACACAAAUUUUACAAGAGCUUCUGCCAGGGCUCAGACACCACAAUGCAGGGUCACUACCUUAGGUAACAUCUGCUCCCCAGAGUCUUUAGGCAUUAAGUGGUUCAGUGAGGGCUUCAGCCCUAGUGGUAUUUUCAGGUUUUCUCAGCUGGGACUCCAGUCGUUUUUCAUACAGCAUAGUGACAAAGUCAAGUAGGAACAUAAAACUUGCUAUAAAUCCAAACACCUGAGGAAAAAAAUGAGGAAAGGUUAUAUGAGAAUUUUGGAAUAUAAUCUUACAUUUCCUACUUGGCUUGCAGAAUGUUUCAUGUAAACAAAAUGUUCAUGAAUUUUAUACACGACUACUCUUUAAUGGUAAAAAAAUGUUUAAGUCAUCAAAAAAUGGAAAGAAGUUAUAAAAGAAAAACUUCCAGAAUAAUGGCUAUUAGUCAGAGUCUCACAAAAUAUUAAUGUUCUGCCUUAUGUGUGCAUGUUUAUAUGUGGAGGGCUAAUAUAUGAAAGUAGGGUUAACAGAUAAACAUUAAAUCCUAUAAAAUGAUACAAAACAAAAAUAUGUGCAUGGUUAGAUUGACCCACAGAUGUGAUAAGGAAAAUAUGUGACUAGGCAACUCAGCCUAGGUGAGAAUGAAAAAAGUUAUUAAUAUCAAAACAGAAAUUCCAUUUUGAAGAUACUAUUAGGUUAAAUUAAUGUUCCAGUUGUCACACUGCAAUGACACAGUGACAUGACGCCACUACCUACUUCCUCUUCCUUAAAUCACUUCCUUAAUUGUUCUCUUCUAAAAUAUGAUCAAACGUUCUGAGAAUUCUAUCAAGAGACAGAAGACCAUGCGUCUGCUUCAAAUUUAGCUUCUCCACUAGCAAAACCCUUAAGGAUAGGGGGGCCAGGUAAGUUCUCUGUAAAAAAGAGAAAAUUGAUGUAGGUGACGGCUAAAGUCUCUUCCAAAUCUAAUACUCCCUAUCUCCACGAUUUUUAUUAAUAACAUUCUCUUACAGUCUGUUGCAGUCUCCUGACCUCUCCUCCCCCCUAUAAAGAAUAUGCAUUCCACCUCAUUUUACCACAAAGUAAACUGAGCUCCAAAUUCAUUAAGUCCCCCAGAUAUCCCCAACAUAUCCAAUCUAAAUUUAAUUAUCAACGCCUCCCACCCUCCCAUCCCCCGCCACAAAAGCCAAGUCUUUUUCCCUCUGGAAUCUUUAUUUUUGACUUCAUGGCAUUUAUCCCCUUAUUUUCCUGGCAACCUUCUUAAAUACAUCGAACUCAGACCAAAUGUCACCCUUGUUUUUGAAGCUGUCUCUGAUCACCACAAGUGAUCUUCUAGCUCUUUUCACACACUUCUGAAUUAAAAAAAAAAAAAAA